rnacentral:rRNA from 1 species
UACGAAGGGUGCAAGCGUUAUUCGGAAUUAUUGGGCGUAAAGGGCGCGUAGGCGGCUUUUCAAGUGACGGGUGAAAUCCCUCGGCUUAACCGAGGAACUGCCUGUCAGACUGGAAGGCUUGAGACCGGGAGAGGUGAGUGGAAUUCCCAGUGUAGCGGUGAAAUGCGUAGAUAUUGGGAGGAACACCAGUGGCGAAGGCGGCUCACUGGACCGGAACUGACGCUGAGGCGCGAAAGCGUGGGGAGCAAAC